rnacentral:rRNA from 1 species
GGACUACACGGGUUUCUAAUCCCAUUCGCUACCCACGCUUUCUUGUUUCAACGUCAGGAGUGCUCCAGUCUGCUGCCUUCGCUUUUGGUGUUCCCCAUAAUAUCAACGCAUUUCACCGCUACACUAUGAGUUCCGCAGACCCCUCGCAUCCUCGAGUCGUGCCGUUUCCCUUGCGAGCCCCCGGUUAAGCCGAAGAAUUUGACAAGAGACUAACACGACCGCCUACACAACCUUUACGCCCAAUAAUUCCGGAUAACGCUUGAGGCACUCGUAUUACCGCGGCUGCUGGCAC